GCUAUGCAGGGAAACCUUGUUCUGUGAGGUCCUCCCAGUGUUCUGAAUACAGAUGUCUCCUGAGUGAUGACAGCUUCACACUGGAGACUCCCAGCAGCAGGAAAGCAGAGCCAGUAAGAAGAUGUUGCACUCCAUUUGGGAUGGAGCCUCAAACGGUGCAGCUGUUUGAACACAUGUGCAUUUUCCACUCAGCAAACCGCAAGAACAAGGCAGCAGGGUACAGGAUACAAGAAGAGAUGACCAGGUCUCACCAGGAGUCUCACAAAAUUAUUGAAUACCCACUCUUCUAUCAAUAGAGUAAAAAAGAUGGGGAGAGUCCCAGGAG